rnacentral:rRNA from 1 species
AUUGAACGCUGGCGGCAUGCCUUACACAUGCAAGUCGAACGGCAGCACGGGAGCAAUCCUGGUGGCGAGUGGCGAACGGGUGAGUAAUGUAUCGGAACGUGCCCAGUCGUGGGGGAUAACGUAGCGAAAGCUACGCUAAUACCGCAUACGAUCUAUGGAUGAAAGCGGGGGAUCGCAAGACCUCGCGCGGUUGGAGCUGCCGAUAUCAGAUUAGGUAGUUGGUGGGGUAAAGGCUCACCAAGCCGACGAUCUGUAGCUGGUCUGAGAGGACGACCAGCCACACUGGGACUGAGACACGGCCCAGACUCCUACGGGAGGCAGCAGUGGGGAAUUUUGGACAAUGGGCGCAAGCCUGAUCCAGCAAUGCCGCGUGCAGGAUGAAGGCCUUCGGGUUGUAAACUGCUUUUGUACGGAACGAAACGGCGAGCUCUAAUACAGUUUGCUAAUGACGGUACCGUAAGAAUAAGCACCGGCUAACUACGUGCCAGCCGCCGCAGUAA